rnacentral:rRNA from 1 species
GUUUACGGCCAUACCACCCUGAACGCGCCCGAUCUCGUCUGAUCUCGGAAGCUAAGCAGGGUCGGGCCUGGUUAGUACUUGGAUGGGAGAAAUCCAUUAUGGUCUAAAAA